GACGGAUAUGGCGGACGGUGGAACAGCGGAAUAGACAAAAACAAGAAUCCUGUUGAUGGAGGAACAAAAGCAGGCGAAGAAGGAGAGUGAUACAAAAUAAACGACAUGCAGUUGGUCUUCUUUCUACUGGAUCAGUGUUGGGGACCGAGGGGCUUAGCGUUCAUGAUGUGUCCGUCAUGUCGUUCAUCAGGAGCAGCCCGUGUUGUCCGGCCAGAACAACAUGAUGAAGUUAGCGAUCCGACCCCGGCCACAGAUACACUUUUAAAGACCAGCCGACCGGACCUGGAUAGAGGCCAGUGCAAGAAUCAUCCUUCAGCCCAGAUAAAGAUCAAGUAUGCUUCAUUUAAUCAGUGGAUGCAACAUGCGAAGAAAAAGCAUUGUUUCACCACCAUGCAUGAUAGAGAUUACACAGAAUCUGCAUGUUUUGAUCACAG